rnacentral:rRNA from 1 species
GACGGGACCCGCACAAGCGGUGGAUGAUGUGGAUUAAUUCGAUGCAACGCGAAAACCUUACCUACCUUGACAUGUCUGGAACCUUGCUGAGAGGCGAGGGUGCCUUCGGGAGCCAGAACACAGGUGCUGCAUGGCUGUCGUCAGCUCGUGUCGUGAGAUGUUGGGUUAAGUCCCGCAACGAGCGCAACCCUUGUCAUUAGUUGCCAUCAUUUAGUUGGGCACUCUAAUGAGACUGCCGGUGACAAACCGGAGGAAGGUGGGGAUGACGUCAAGUCCUCAUGGCCCUUAUGGGUAGGGCUUCACACGUCAUACAAUGGUCGGUACAGAGGGUUGCCAAGCCGCGAGGUGGAGCCAAUCCCUUAAAGCCGAUCGUAGUCCGGAUCGUAGUCUGCAACUCGACUACGUGAAGUCGGAAUCGCUAGUAAUCGCAGAUCAGCAUGCUGCGGUAAAUACGUUCCCGGGUCUU